UUUAGACAUACUACCAACGGCGGCGCGAGCGUAAGCCUCUUGGAACAGAGCGUUACCCGGGUGAGAAUCCUGUGUUUCGCUUGAUGCCCGCCGUGCACGGUACUUGCUCUCAGAGUCACGCUCCUCGGAAUUGGAGCGUAAAUUGGGUGGUAAAUUUCAUCUAAAGCUAAAUACAGGCUCGAGACCGAUAGCAAACAAGUACCAUGAGGGAAAGAUGAAAAGGACUUUGAAAAGAAGAGUUAAAAGUGCUUGAAAUCGCUGAACUGGAAGCGAAUGGAACUAGUGCUCUGGUUGAGAUUGCUGUAAAUGGCUGCGACAUCUGGGCUCUGGAACGCAAGUCCUUUGUCUGGCUUGAAGUAGUCGCUUGCAAUGUGUUUCAGCUUGAACAUCNACU
rnacentral:rRNA from 1 species